GACGAACGCUGGCGGCGUGCUUAACACAUGCAAGUCGAACGGAAAGGCCCCUUUGGGGGUACUCGAGUGGCGAACGGGUGAGUAACACGUGAGUAACCUGCCCUUGACUUCGGGAUAACUUCAGGAAACUGGGGCUAAUACCGGCUAGGAAUCCUUGCUGCAUGGUGGGGGUUGGAAAGCUUCGGCGGUUUUGGAUGGACUCGCGGCUUAUCAGCUUGUUGGUGGGGUAGUGGCUUACCAAGGCUUUGACGGGUAGCCGGCCUGAGAGGGCGACCGGCCACAUUGGGACUGAGAUACGGCCCAGACUCCUACGGGGGGCAGCAGUGGGGAAUAUUGCACAAUGGGCGGAAGCCUGAUGCAGCAACGCCGCGGGCGGGAGGACGGCCUUCGGGUUGGAAACCGCUUUCAGCAGGGGCGAAGCUUGUGGUGACGGUACCUGCAGAAGAAGCACCGGCUAACUACGUG
rnacentral:rRNA from 1 species